rnacentral:rRNA from 1 species
GAUCCUGGCUCAGGACGAGCGCUGGCGGCGCGCCUAACACGUACAAGUCGAACGGAGCUAUGUUGAAAGCUUGCUGGAUAUAUAGCUUAGUGGCGGACGGGUGAGUAACACGUGAGCAACCUGCCUUUCAGAGUGGAAUAACGUUUGGAAACGAACGCUAAUACCGCAUAAUGUCAGAGGAUGGCAUCAUUCUUUGACCAAAGAUUUAUCGCUGAAAGAUGGGCUCGCGGCCGA